rnacentral:rRNA from 1 species
UGCAAGUCGAGCGGUAAGNNCCUUCGUUGUUCACGNGCGGGAACGGGUGAGUAACNCGUGGGUGAUCUGUCCUGUACUUCUGGAUAAGCCUGGGAAACUGGGUCUAAUACCGGAUAUGACCUAGGACUGCAUGGUUUUUGGUGGAAAGGUUUACUGGUGCAGGAUGGGCCCGNGGCCUAUCAGCUUGUUGGUGGGGUAAUGGUCUACCAAGGCGACGACGGGUAGCCGACCUGAGAGGGUGACCGGCCACACUGGGACUGAGACACUGCCCAUACUCCUACGGGAGGCAUCAUUGGGGAAUAUUGCACAAUGGGCGAAAGCCUGAUGCAGCGACGCCGCGUGAGGGAUGACGGUCUUCGGGUUGUAAACCUCUUUCAGCAGGGACUAAUCGAAAGUGACGGUACCUGCAGAAGAAGCACCGGCCAACUACGUGCCAGCAGCCGCGGUAAUACGUAGGGUGCAAGCGUUGUCCGGAAUUACUGGGCGUAAAGAGCUCGUAGGCGGUUUGUCGCGUCGUCUGUGAAAACUCGAGGCUCAACUUCGAGCUUGCAGGNGAUACGGGCAGACUUGAGUACUGCAGGGGAGACUGGAAUUCCUGGUGUAGCGGUGAAAUGCGCAGAUAUCANGAGGAACUCCGGUGGCGAAGGCGGGUCUCUGGGCAGUAACUGACGCUGAGGAGCGAAAGCGUGNGUAUCGAACAGGAUUAGAUAC